GCGGCCGUGGCGGAAUUGGUAGACGCGCUAGCUUGAGGUGCUAGUGGGGCAACUCGUGGAGGUUCGAGUCCUCUCGGCCGCACCA
rnacentral:tRNA from 5 species